UGCUGCAUGGCUGUCGUCAGCUCGUGUCGUGAGAUGUUGGGUUAAGUCCCGCAACGAGCGCAACCCUUGUCUUUAAUUGCCAUCAUUUAGUUGGGCACUUUAAAGAGACUGCCGGUGUUAAGCCGGAGGAAGGUGGGGAUGACGUCAAGUCCUCAUGGCCUUUAUGCCCAGGGCUACACACGUGCUACAAUGGGCGGUACAAAGAGAAGCAACCUCGCGAGGGUGAGCAAAUCUCAAAAAGCCGUUCUCAGUUCGGAUUGCAGGCCGCAAUUCGCCUGCAUGAAGUCGGAAUCGCUAGUAAUCGCAGGUCAGCAUACUGCGGUGAAUACGUUCCCGGGCCUU
rnacentral:rRNA from 1 species